UACAGAGGGUGCAAGCGUUGUUCGGAAUUAUUGGGCGUAAAGCGCGUGUAGGCGGCUUUGCAAGUCGGGUGUGAAAGCCCUCAGCUCAACUGAGGAAGUGCGCCCGAAACUGCAGAGCUUGAGAACCGGAGAGGAUGGCGGAAUUCCCCAAGUAGAGGUGAAAUUCGUAGAUAUGGGGAGGAACACCGGUGGCGAAGGCGGCCAUCCGGACGGAUUCUGACGCUGAGACGCGAAAGCGUGGGUAGCAAACAGG
rnacentral:rRNA from 1 species